rnacentral:rRNA from 1 species
GACAGAGGUGCCGAGCGUUAGGCGGAAUCACUGGGCUUAAAGCGUGUGUAGGCGGGCGGGCAAGUACCUUGUGAAAUCCCACGGCUCACCCGUGGAACUGCUGGGUAUACUGGGCGUCUUGAGCCACCUAGGGGCCAGCGGAACAAAUGGUGGAGCGGUGAAAUGCGUAGAUAUCAUUUGGAACGCCAACGGUGAAAACAGCUGGCUGGGGGUGUGCUGACGCUGAGACACGAAAGCCAGGGGAGCGAACGGG